rnacentral:rRNA from 1 species
ACCCCCCUCCUUUUCCCCCUCACUCUAGUCCUCUGCUCCGCCAGCAGGGGGCUGGUGGCGCACCGCCAUUGAACAAAACCCUCAACCCAGAUCGGAAACUAAGCCGCCGGCAUGUCGUCCUCCAACGACGCCCCCGUCAGCCCUCGCUCCCAGCUCGUGCUGAGCUGCUUCGAGGAGCUCCUCGACUUCGCGGUGGCGGACGUGGCGUCGGAGUGCCACCGCAUCGCGCGCCUAGGCCUCGACCGCAGCGUCGACGCCGAGGAGGAGGAGCUCCGCCUCUGGGCCGCGCGCGUCGCCGGCGACCACCCCGGCGCCGAGGACGGGGCCACCCGCGGGGCCGGGGGAGGAGGGGGGAACAAGGGCGCGCCCGACGUCUUCGGCCAGACGCACCCCGCCAUCGCCGCCGACGUCGUCGACUGCAUGAACUGCGGUCGCCCCGUCGUCGCCGGCCGCUUCGCCCCGCACCUCGAGAAGUGCAUGGGCAAGGGUCGCAAAGCUCGCGCAAAGACCACAAGGAGCAGCACAGCUGGACGGAACAGAAACAGCAAUGGGGAGGAGCAUAGCAACCAUACAUUCCAGGAGUCCUGAUCGCAAGCUGUGCUUCUGUCAUGCUAUCGGUGCUUGAGCGCCGUACGAGGGCGAAGCGCGUUACCUUGAUCAAUUUGGCUUGCGUGCUACUAUCUGUUGCCUCGAGUCCUCUGUAUAUUAGGGCUUAAGCAUGUUUUGUUUAUCAAGUGAAUUCUUGGCCAUCCUGUAUAGCUAAUUCCUUCCAGUAAGUAAUACAGUUUGUUCCAGCACC